AUUGAUUUUAUUUUUAUUUUAAGUAAGAAUAUAUGGAUAGUACCUUUUGUAUCAGGGUUGUUUAAUAUAAAUAAUGAUUUAGGUUUCUCGAUAUUAACUGAGUUAAAUAAGGUACUAUAUGUUGAAUAAUUAUGUAAAUUUAUUUAGUAGUGAAAAUUUUUCGUAGUUGGAGGUAUCUAGUUGUUUAUUAGGUCGAUAAGAGGGUAAGCUUCUUAUUUUUGUAUAUUUUAUAUAUAAUAUGAUAAAUUAGGCUUAAGAUUAGCUGUAUUGAUAAUUUGUUUUAAAUUUUUUAUGUUGGCUGGUUAGUAUUAUUUUUAAAGACAAUUUAAUUUUAUAAGGUGGUUUUAUUUAUAAUGGGUAAAUUAGUAUUUUUUUUUUUCUGUAAAAUAUAACUCGAUAUUUGUAGAAUGGUUUAUCAAAAACAUUUUUUUAUUGGUAUAAGGUAAGGCCUGCCCAGUGUAUUUAAUAAACGGCUGCGGUAUUUUGACUGUGCUAAGGUAGCAUAAUAAUUUGUUUUUUAAUUGUAAACUGGAAUGAAGGGUUUUAUCUAUGAAGUAUUUUAUUUGCAGGAUAAAUAAUUUAUAUUUAUGGUAAAAAUACCGUAAUUAGGUAAAGUGACGAUAAGACCCUAUAAGCUUUAUUUAUGAAGUAAGAAAGUCAAGGAUUUAGCGUUUUUUUAUUUAAUAUUAAUUUUGCUGGGGCAGUAGUAUUAUUUAAUUUAAUAGGUUUAAGACAUAGGUUAAUGAGUAUAGGAUCUUUUUAUAAAGAUAGUUAGUGUAAGUUACUGUAGGGAUAACAGCGCAAUAAUUUUGGAGAGGCCUUAUUGAUUAAAUUGAUUGCGACCUCGAUGUUGAAUUAAAAUUUCUUUUUGUUGCAGAAGACAGAGGAGAAGGUUUGUUCAACCUUUAAAUUUUUACAUGAUUUGAGUUCAAAUCGGUUUGAGCCAGAUUGGUUUCUAUCUUUUAUAAUUUAUAGUUUGUGUAAGUACGAAAGGGACACAUAAAAUUU
rnacentral:rRNA from 1 species